ensembl:lncRNA novel transcript
AACGUUUUCCCUGGAUCUUUGGGGUUUUUUUUAUUUCUGAAGCCUCCUGAGUCACAAAAAACUUUUAAAAUAAAUUUGUUAUGCUUUUCUCUUGUUAAUCUGUCUUUUAUUAUAGGAGCGUCCACCAUGUCCCUUGCAGUCUUCUCUUCUAUUCCCUUCAAGAGUGCCGCUUCCUCUAUCUCCAAAACUUCCCAUUGCUGAGGUCCAGAAUGUCUACUUUUUUGUCCUCUGCAACAUUCCUCUAGUGUCUCCUGCAGCUUUGACGAUAAACAAUCGCCUUUUGCAAAUGUGUCCCACAGCUCCACGUCUCCAGGUGCUACACAAUUAGAUGCUUCCAGAGGGCAGAACGUGCUAGAUGGACUGUGACAUCGAGUUGACCUGGCUUCACAUCUCAGCACUGCCUCUCAUUUACCGGAGGAUACUGGGAAAAUUGUGUAACCUCUCUGAGUCUUGGUUUAGAUAUCAGUAAAAUUGUGAUAAUAAUAAGAACCCCCAGCUAAGGUUGUUAUAAAGUGAAACGAUGGACAUAAUGCAAAUAGGAGGCUUAUUCAUUCAUUCCUUUAUUUAUUUGCUCAGCAAGCAUCUAUGGUGCCCCUCCUAUGUCCCUCUAAGUGCAUACUCAGUGGUAGGUGAUAUUGCGAAAGCCCUGAGUCUUUUCACCUCAACACAUCUUCUAAAUGUGCACUUCUCUAUUUUUGCCUUUUGCUCGUCUUCCAGUCUUCUAGGUUCAAGCCCAUAAUUCUUGGUAAUGCUACCUUCUCUCAGCUCCUGUAUUCCAACCAUCAAGUCUUGCUUGACUUGCUCAUUUUUUUCUUUCUUUUUCCCACCAUCCUAGGACCAAGCCCAUGUCAGCACAAACCUGGAUCCUUCUUUCAUGCCAAUCCUCAAGUUUUGACUUUAUUUCAGUUGGAAAUUGGCAUCCAGGGAAGUGUUUGAAUAGGGAAGGAAAAGGAUCAAAGUGGUGCUUUUGGAAGUUUAAUUUUUGCUCCACAUGAGUUCCAGUGGGAAGUGGCCAGUGGCAAGGAGACAAGUAAAAAGUUUUAACAAUUUAAAUAUAAACUGAUAAAGACUUAAAGUAAGGUGAUGCUAUUAGGCAUGGAACGGAGAAAGAGGAGGCUGCAAGAGGCAUUUUGAAGGAACCUGUGUGGGAGUGAAUUAGGUUUGAGGUGUGAAGAUAACUCCACAAUUUAGAGUCUUGGUAACUAGGAGACUAAUGAUACCUGUUUCACAACUUCAGUAGCACUUUGUGCUGCUCACGUGUGUCUUUUCACCUACCAUCUGGUGUAUGUUAUUUUUUUUAAUGAAUAAUUGUCUUUCUCUACAAAUUGGUUAUAAACUCCGUAAAGCAA